AUGGUCAGCUCUCAUCACUCUCUUGGGCGGAGGUUGCGGUUGUGUUUGGUGUCUUGCAAUGGGGGCGCAUGGAUGACGGAAUGCAGCGGCCGGCGUUCCUCUUCUUCGAUCUCGUCGGACAAAGCUGACGGCGUCGGGAUCCAUCGGACACGGGGAAGAACCACGGCCGACGUGCCACAAGGUCUCGGCCUCAUCGCUUGCGGCGGUCCGGUUCAUCGGCUCGAAAAACAUCUUUGUUCGCAAAUGUGCUCCUCUAGAUCUUGGUAUGAAGGCAGUUCCCCUCUUUCUUUCAGCGGCGGAGGAGGACGAUGGCGGGUGACGUCUUGGUCCGGCACAAGAUUGUGCCGAAGUGGAUAUUCGUGCGAAGUCUUUGAUGUGGUAUUGCAAGACAUAUUGUAA
rnacentral:rRNA from 1 species